AAAAUUACUAGCUUACAACAUUGUUCAAUAUUAACAGUGGGAAGGGUAAUAUGUAAAACAGACAUUAAAGGAUUAGCUGCAAAAUACAUUUCACUAAGCUAAAUCAUUUCUUGGCAAAUGGCAGUUUCCAGCUAAUACACAGGAUUCAUCAAGUCAAGUGGAUUUAUUUUUAUUUUUCUAUUAGUUUGUUAAAUAUAUUCUAUAUUUAAACUUCAAUUUUGCAGGUUUCUGUUUCAGGCAUAUUAGAGGAAGCUUCUGGAAACAGAAUCCGAGAUAGAAGUGAUCUCAAGACUUUCAACUCAAAGCUGCUCGUCGAUUUCCCCAGCAAAUCUUCUGAGUUGACUAAAGAUGAGACUGUAACAUCUCAGAGAAAAGUGCAUGGCUAUGACAUUGCAAACAUUUGUAUGACAGAUUAGGAAGUUACAAGUGCAUCAGAAAUUUCACUAAAAAGGCAUAUCUUCCCCAAGACAUAAAACAAUGUUUCCAUUGUUUUUGCUUCAGACUCUACAGACACACAACACUCUGUUCUAAUCAAGCAUGUCUGGAGUUCCGUAAACAAUGUGAAUCUGUGAAGCAGGCACCCAGAAGGAAGGAGGGCUGUCCAUGCCCUGAAAGGCACUCCUCCCUUGACAGGAAGUACGGGAGGACUUCCCUGCUGAGGCGGAACACUGGCUCCCUCACAAGAUGGCCUCCUGUGAUGGUGAGCAGAGCUAGUGUCUUCAUAUUCUUCCCUCUCUGCUCACCCACCUGACAUUUCUGCCUUGUCUCACUUGCCUGAACACUCCUCAGUUUUCCUGAUCUGGAAGCUAACUGGAUGACACUUGUCCUGUUACUACCCAUGGUCCCUAAUAUGACACGGAGCUAUGGACCAGCUCUUAGCAAAACCCCUGAGCAGACAAUCAAUGAAGGUAUAUAAAAUGGCAAAUGAAGACUUGAGAAUUCUACUCCAUAUAAUCCUUCCUGACGAAUCUCCAGGAACUGACAGUUUCCUUUGCCAUAGCACUAUCUAGACAUGACCUCUCAAAGAUACAAAUAAAUAAGAGCAUUCCAUUUCUCCUAUUCCCUUCCUUGAACUGCAAAUGUCUAUCUAUAAUUACUAAGUAUAAUUACAACUGUUAUUAUACUGUCACCACGUGGUACUGGUAACACAUAUCUUACAAUAUGAAAAUCCUUAAACAACUUCUUUCUUACUGAUUUUACCGAGGACCAAGAUAGACUAUGCCACAUGGCACCAAAGUACCAUGUAGCCUGCUGCUGGUCCACUGAGUGACUGUGAGAGUUUUAAAUUCCUUUUCACAUUUACUUCUUGAAUCUGUCACUAGACUCCAGAAUCAUCUGAAGGAAUCAGGCAGUUCUCAAUACCAUCUCAUUAUUGACAUUUAUGUUGAUCGAUGUUGGCUCUUACAGAAUUGGAAUCUACAGAUGAAUUUCCUUAUUAGAUUCUUUCUCACGGCUGCCAUAAUCAUUUUAUCACACAGGCUGAUGCUAUCAAAUGCUGGUUUAUCACUACGUAAUGGGACAAGCUAAAUUAGUUCCUCUAAUAUGUUACAAGAAAUAAAAAAAAAAAUUCCUGGUUUUAAAUCUCAUUUUUCUCAAAUCUUAAGAAAUUCCCUGAUGUUUUUGUGUAUAAAGAGGUUAAUUUGAACUUAUUCUCCCUUAAAACUGUGCUCCAUGGGAGACCAAUGGUGAAUUCUAAGAGCAACUCACAAUUCUCC
rnacentral:lncRNA from 10 species